rnacentral:rRNA from 1 species
AUUGAACGCUGGCGGCAGGCCUAACACAUGCAAGUCGAGCGGUUGAGGGGAGCUUGCUCCCUGAUUCAGCGGCGGACGGGUGAGUAAUGCCUAGGAAUCUGCCUAUUAGUGGGGGACAACGUUUCGAAAGGAACGCUAAUACCGCAUACGUCCUACGGGAGAAAGCAGGGGACCUUCGGGCCUUGCGCUAAUAGAUGAGCCUAGGUCGGAUUAGCUAGUUGGUGAGGUAAUGGCUCACCAAGGCGACGAUCCGUAACUGGUCUGAGAGGAUGAUCAGUCACACUGGAACUGAGACACGGUCCAGACUCCUACGGGAGGCAGCAGUGGGGAAUAUUGGACAAUGGGCGAAAGCCUGAUCCAGCCAUGCCGCGUGUGUGAAGAAGGUCUUCGGAUUGUAAAGCACUUUAAGUUGGGAGGAAGGGCAGUAAGUUAAUACCUUGCUGUUUUGACGUUACCGACAGAAUAAGCACCGGCUAACUCUGUGCCAGCAGCCGCCGUAAAAC